UACGUAGGGUGCGAGCGUUGUCCGGAAUUACUGGGCGUAAAGAGCUCGUAGGUGGUUUGUCGCGUUGUCGUGAAAUUCCCUGGCUUAACUGGGGGCGUGCGGGCGAUACGGGCAGACUGGAGUACUGCAGGGGAGACUGGAAUUCCUGGUGUAGCGGUGGAAUGCGCAGAUAUCAGGAGGAACACCGGUGGCGAAGGCGGGUCUCUGGGCAGUAACUGACGCUGAGGAGCGAAAGCGUGGGGAGCGAACAGG
rnacentral:rRNA from 1 species